CGUCGAUUGGGCGUCGAAGUGUUGAAUCAUUGAGAAAAAUAUUCGUUUUGUAUAUAAAUUCAGAUAGUGUUUCAGUAAGCUGCUAAUAGUUAUAAACAUAAAAAACGUUGCAUUUUUAAAACUAACACAUAAACAAGUUAGCAUGUCAGUUAAAUAAGAUUAAAAACAACAAAAAGUUACCUUCUUAUACUGCCCGAUAAAAAAACAACUUGAAAAGCCAGAAAAGGUUUUCUCUGCUUCGCAAAUGCUCGUACUUCCACUUUCCAAAAUCAAAGUUUUCUUUUUUGUCGAAAUUGUACUUUAAAAAUUUCGCCAUUUUUAUAUUUCCGAUUAAGGCGAUUUAAUAAACAAGACGUCUGGUAUUGCUAAACCAAAGCCGCUAGAACUGUAGGAACAAAAUCAUGCAUCUGUGAGUAUUAACUUUGCUUUCUAAACGUGAUUGUAAGCAAGUUUGACUUGAAAUAGCGUUUCAUUUCGGUAUUAGGCAGCAAAAUACCGAAAUGUCGGUAUAUCGGUAUUUUUAAAUUGUGAAUAUCGCCAAACCGGUAUCUAAACAAAUACCGGUAUAUCGGAUAUAUCCGGUAUAUCGAUCCAGCCUA